AAACACCAGGUUUUUGUCCCCUCGCUUACCUGUAAGUACAGUGGCCUUGUUGGGAGGCCCUCAGGAGUCUUUCCUCACCUGCAAGGUACUCCCAUGGCAGUCUUCCCUUCCCCAGAUCCCCUUGUUUCUUUCCCCAUUCAAUCCAUAAUCCUUGUGCCUGGGAGUACAUGGGUUUUCCGCCAGGUUUUCAGGAGCCCAGUGGGUGGUGUGCUGAUCCAAAGCUCUCCUGACCCACCAGAAUCCUGGGCUCCUGGCACAUGGCUGGGCUGGUGCCCCACCCCUCCACACACCCAAGAUCCAGACCCACUGAAGUUCUCCAGGCCUGGUCCUCCAGCACACCAGGGCAGCAUGCUGACCUGGGGCGCUCUCCUCGUCCAGGACGAAGCACAUGAAGGAAUCUCCAGGUUCACUCCGUCUGCAUAGAGAUAUAAAAGAUGCUGAUACACCAGCGAGGGAUCUUUAUCAAGAAGAUGGUUUUUCAGAGCCAGAAUGAGGAGGAGGAAUGUAUCCCCUUCAAGUUUGUUACUCAGCAGCAUGGGCAGGUCCUGCGGUGCGGUGAGGGCUAACAGGCCUGCACAGGCUUCCUGAUCUUUCUUCAUGCUGAUGGCAUUCAUCACCUGGCCAAAUUCGUAGGCAUUGUUAGGCCUGGAGACCUGAAGUGUUGCUGCGUCUUCCAGAGGCCCACUGCUCUCCUUCCCGGUCCCGGCAGCCAGGCCGUCAGCACGGACGUCCUCCACCGUUCCCGGAGGCUCCUUGUCACUGCACUCCUCCACCUCCAGAAACAAGGAACACGGUGUCACACACAAUGCCACUCACCACGUGCCCCAGGAGGCUAUUUCAGCCAGUCUGUAGGUGAAAAAAACUGCCCUCAUUGUAAAAACUAAUUUCUUGAGGACCUGUAUUUGGGUUAAGAACCUAGUUCAUAAGCAUAUUCCUCUGUAAAGUUUUUUUUUUAAAUGGACAUUGACAUGAUUUUAUCCUUAGAACUUUUCACAUAAAACUAUUACAUGAAAUAAAGACCUCUGAAAAUA